ensembl:snRNA U2 U2 spliceosomal RNA
AUCUCUUCUUGGCCUUUUGGCUAAGAUCAAGUGGAGUAUCUGUACUUAUCAGUUUAAUAUCUGAUAUGUCCUGUAUCUGAGGACAAUAUAUUAAAUGGAUUUUUGGAGCUGGGAGUUGGAAUAGGAGCUUGCUCCAUCUGCUCCACUCAUCGACCUGGUAUUGCAGUCCCAAGAAUGAAGCAUCAAAA